CCUACGGGUGGCAGCAGUGAGGAAUAUUGGUCAAUGGGCGCGAGCCUGAACCAGCCAAGCAGCGUGAAGGAUGACUGCCCUACGGGUUGUAAAAUUCUUUUAUAAAGGAAUAAAGUCAGGCACGUGUGCCUUUUUUUAUGUACUUUAUGAAUAAGGAUCGGCUAACUCCGUGACAGCAGCCGCGGUCAUACGGAGGAUCCGAGCGUUAUCCGUAUUUAUUGGGUUUAAAGGGAGCGUAGAUGGGUUGUUAAGUCAGUUGUGAAAGUUUGUGGCUCAAACGUAAAAUUGCAAUUGAUACUGGCAGCCUUGAGUACAGUUGAGGGAGGCGGAAUUCGUGGUGUAGCGGUGAAAUGCUUAGAUAUCACGAAGAACUCCGAUUGCGAAGGCAGCUUACUAAACUGCCACUGACAUUGAUGCUCGAAAGUGUGGGUAGCAAACAGGAUUAGAUACCCUAGUAGUC
rnacentral:rRNA from 1 species